rnacentral:rRNA from 2 species
UGGCUCAGGACGAACGCUGGCGGCGUGCCUAAUACAUGCAAGUCGAACGAACUCUGGUAUUGAUUGGUGCUUGCAUCAUGAUUUACAUUUGAGUGAGUGGCGAACUGGUGAGUAACACGUGGGAAACCUGCCCAGAAGCGGGGGAUAACACCUGGAAACAGAUGCUAAUACCGCAUAACAACUUGGACCGCAUGGUCCGAGCUUGAAAGAUGGCUUCGGCUAUCACUUUUGGAUGGUCCCGCGGCGUAUUAGCUAGAUGGUGGGGUAACGGCUCACCAUGGCAAUGAUACGUAGCCGACCUGAGAGGGUAAUCGGCCACAUUGGGACUGAGACACGGCCCAAACUCCUACGGGAGGCAGCAGUAGGGAAUCUUCCACAAUGGACGAAAGUCUGAUGGAGCAACGCCGCGUGAGUGAAGAAGGGUUUCGGCUCGUAAAACUCUGUUGUUAAAGAAGAACAUAUCUGAGAGUAACUGUUCAGGUAUUGACGGUAUUUAACCAGAAAGCCACGGCUAACUACGUGCCAGCAGCCGCGGUAAUACGUAGGUGGCAAGCGUUGUCCGGAUUUAUUGGGCGUAAAGCGAGCGCAGGCGGUUUUUUAAGUCUGAUGUGAAAGCCUUCGGCUCAACCGAAGAAGUGCAUCGGAAACUGGGAAACU